CCUGUUAAAGAGUCGUAUGGAAUUUGACAGGGAAGUUAUACCAAGUUUUCAGUUAAGAUUAAGCGCCGAUAAUGGUACAGUGUACAUCGACAACUAUUUGAUAGAUAUUGACGUAAUAGAUAGGAACGACAACUCUCCCACAUUUACACAGUCACAUUAUACAUUUGAUGUACCAGCCGACGCACAUGUUGGGACGGUUUUUGGGCGAAUUAUGGCAACGGAUAACGAUAUAGAUGAAAAUGGCGAAGUAAUAUAUGACAUCCAAGGAGAUGGCUCCACUCAGUUUAGUGUUGACGGAUAUUCUGGUGAAAUGAGCUUGGCUAAACUACCUGAUAAAAAUAUUCCACAACCAAUUGUCUACUUGACUGUUCGAGCAACGGAUGGUGGUACUCCUCCUUUACAGUCAACCACACGGGUCAAGGUAAAUUUUGGUGGUAAGAAUAUAAUAGGCUAGUUAACAAGAUGAUAAAGGAGGUUUUGAUUGAGAUAGAGAGUAUUACCAGAGAGAGUUUUACUAGACUAUUUUAUUAUGAAAUUACAUGUCUGUAUUUAAAAUCUAUAUCACAUUAUUGACUUUAAAAUCGGAUUUUUAAAAAACCUUUGUUCCGAACUCAGUGUAAUUAAAACGAUACGAACAUU